CUUCUGGCUCCAAAAAUCAAACAUGGCGAUGGCCAAAUCCAAGAUGGCGAGGGUCAAAGCGCUGCACCCGAGGCUUCAAAACGGCAAUGUUUCUCUAAUCGUUUCCCAUUCACUCAUUCAGUUUAUUUAGCUAUACAUUUCCAGGACAGGAAAUUGAGAGUAGAGUGCUAUUCCUCUCUAAAUUUUGCACUGGCCUUACUGGUAAAUGAUGAUGUGGUCCAUGGUGAUAUACUUUGAUGUGUUGUUGUUACAGACCAUGCCUAAGAGGAUGUAUGCAGAGUCACAGAGUGAUGUAGAUGAUACAAAUACAUCAAAUACGAUAUGUCAUAUUUUCCAUAACAGUAUUCAAACAUUGUUUUUCAUAGCUUCAGACUGUGUUGUAGUAAUUGAGCUGUCAUUGCUCUUAGUUUUACUAGGCUUACAAACCUGUGUAUAAUAUUUGUUUUCAUGUUGUGCUCAACAUUAGGAUGAUGCCCCAGUUGAUGAUGAAGCUGACAACAACAGAGCUCAAGACAAUUCUCCAGUCUCCUCAGCGGCUCUUUAGGUUAAAAACCCAGCUGCCUCAAGCAAUGAUGCGGCUCGUUCAGGUGACAAUGCAGCUGCCUCAGGUGAUGACACGGCGGCUGUCUCAGAGGACAAUGUGGCUGCCUCAAAGAGCACCUAAAGCAUUAGCAGGCAUUUGGUAGUUCAGUUGGCUGCCUCAGGUGACGACGCAGCUCUCCCAGAUGAUGACGCGGCUCUCUGAGAUGACAAUGUUGCUGCCUCAGACAGCGCCCAAAGCAUUGGCAGACAACACAGUCGGUAGCUUAGGUGAAGUGUGCUCAUUGUUGCUGUCCUCUAGGAUCAAUGAAGUUCAGUUUUUGGCAGCAUCUUAGUUUGUGGUACUUUAAUUAGAUGUAAUUUGGCAUACUUUAUAUCAAAAUAAAAGGUCUAUUGGGCAAAAAGACAGACAUAGCUAAUGUUAAUGUUAUAGCAUGCAUUGUACAUUGUUUUCCAAUUAAAAUUUUUUUGUGAGAUUUCAGACACACUGAUUGCACCCAAAAAGACGAGCAUACACUGUUCGGUUUUAGAAAUCUUGUUGAAUUCCGACUCAUACUGCACAAGUACGGUCCAACCGUCAAGCCACAACCUGAGUGCUUACACUAUAUGUGAAGAACAGAAACUAAAAACAGCCCGUCAGCCCCCGCAGACCAUUCAAAGACAGUUCAAUUCAAGUUUUGAUCUCUUUCUCUCUCUCACAAACACUCACACAAACACACACACACACAUAGUGUUGUGUUGUCAGCAUCAGCAGGUGAAGAGCAGUGUCUCUUUCCUGCCAACCUUUCGUGAUAGUCGUGACAGAACAUGAAAGAGGUGCAGUGAGGAAAAAAGGCACUGGAGACUUUGGAAAAUCGAUUUGUGAGUUCGCUUCAACCUUGCACGGGGCUGACGACGGCUGACCAAAGAUU